AAUGAACGCUGGCGGCAUGCCUAACACAUGCAAGUCGAACGAAGUGGCGCACGGGUGCGUAACGCGUGGGAAUCUGCCCUCGGUUCGGAAUAACAGCGAGAAAUUGCUGCUAAUACCGGAUGCCUGAGGAUGAGCCCGCGUAGGAUUAGCUAGUUGGUGUGGUAAAGGCGCACCAAGGCGACGAUCCUUAGCUGGUCUGAGAGGAUGAUCAGCCACACUGGGACUGAGACACGGCCCAGACUCCUACGGGAGGCAGCAGUGGGGAAUAUUGGACAAUGGGCGAAGGCCUGAUCCAGCAAGGCCGCGUGAGUGAUGAAGGCCUUAGGGUUGUAAAGCUCUUUUACCCGGGAUGCAGUACCGGGAGAAUAAGCUCCGGCUAACUCCGUGCCAGCAGCCGCGGUAAUUC
rnacentral:rRNA from 1 species